rnacentral:rRNA from 2 species
GACGUAGGAUGCAAGCGUUGUCCGGAUUCAUUGGGCGUAAAGAGUUCGUAGGCGGUUUGUUAAGUCUGAUGUUAAAGAUCGGGGCCCAACCCUGAGAGUGCAUUGGAUACUGGCAGACUGGAGUGCAGUAGAGGCAAGUGGAAUUCCCAGUGUAGCGGUGAAAUGCGUAGAUAUUGGGAAGAACACCGGUGGCGCAGGCGACUUGCUGGGCUGUAACUGACGCUGAGGAACGAAAGCUAGGGGAGCAAAUGGG